rnacentral:rRNA from 1 species
UACGUAGGGUGCAAGCGUUAAUCGGAAUUACUGGGCGUAAAGCGUGCGCAGGCGGUUAUGUAAGACAGGGGUGAAAUCCCCGGGCUUAACCUGGGAACUGCAUUUGUGACUGCAUAGCUAGAGUACGGUAGAGGGGGAUGGAAUUCCGCGUGUAGCAGUGAAAUGCGUAGAUAUGCGGAGGAACACCGAUGGCGAAGGCAAUCCCCUUGACCUGUACUGACGCUCAUGCACGAAAGCGUGGGGAGCAAACAGG